rnacentral:piRNA from 1 species
UGCCAUUCUCAGAUUCCACGCAUAUGGCC